GACGAACGCUGGCGGCAUGCCUAACACAUGCAAGUCGAACGAAACCGUCGGGUCUAGGGGCGCUCGGGGGCGUACGGCGGGGGAAGCAACACUUAGGUACGGUAUAACUGCCCGAGAGGUGAGCUAAUGAAGGUUGAUCUCAUCGGACCAAAGAUUUAUCGCCGUUGGAUGGGGCCGGGUAGGAUUAGCUGGUUGGUAGUGGAAAAGCCGGCCAAGGCGACGAUCCAUGGCUGGUCGGGGAGGAGGCUCAGCCACGCUGGCACUGAGACACGGCCCAGACGCGGACGGAAGGGUGCAGUGGGGAGUAUUGGACACUGGGCGAUGGCCUGACCCAGCAACGCCGCGUGAGUCAUGCAGGCCUUAGUGUUGUAAAGCUCUUUUACCCGGGAUGAUAAUGACGGUACCGGGAGAAUAAGCACCGGCUAACUCCGUG
rnacentral:rRNA from 1 species